AGAGCCACUAAUUUCAGAAUCUGUUUGGUAGUACACUAUAUCACCAGUGUCACUAACAUAAUGAUCUUUCUUCAAACUCCUUAUAAAUUCUCCAAUAAGGUGAAAAGGAAGAGGAGCUGAUUUCUUUGGCUCUUUGUAAUAUUCUCCAAACACAGGCCUUGCUGCCUCAGUCUGCAAACAAAGCGAAGAAAAAUUCAAAUUCCAGACUCUAAAAACAAAUCACUAUAUAUCCAUUGUUUUAACUAAGAUAGAGAUAGAGUUACUCACAGCUUCAACUAGAUGAUAGUGUGGAAUUUGAGGGAAAAGGUGAUGAACGACAUGAGUUCCAAUGUCAUGGUGAAUGUUAUUAAGCCAUCCAUAAUCGCGGUCAAGAGUAGUAAGUCCACCUCUAAGAUAGCUCCAUUCCUAAACAACAGACGAAGAUUAAAUAUGUAAACUAAAAUCGGAUUACGAAAACAUUAAAAAGGAAUUGCAAUGCGUCCAUAUUUCGUCUGUCUGAUUAAGGUACAAUCUUAAUCCAACAGUUAAAAUUUUGACUAAAUGGACAUGUCAACAAAUCAAAAAGUAUAUAUGCCGUAAAGUCAGCGUUGUCCGUCUCAGUGCAGUCAUAUCUUGCUUAAUGGAUCAAGGUACAAUCCUCAUCCAACAGUCAAGAUUUGACUGAAUGGACAUGUCAACAAACCAAAAUACACAUUGGUGGUCUAGUCUGUACAGUCGUAUUUGGCCUAUCGGAACAAGGUACAAUUGUAAUCCAACAAUCGAAAUUUGAUUGAUCCGACACAUCUACAAACCAAAAAGACUAGCAGUCAUCCGGUCAGUGUAGCCAUACCUUAUUUAUUGGAUCAAUGUACAAUUGGGAUCCAAUAUCUGAGAUUUGACUAAGACU
rnacentral:lncRNA from 1 species